rnacentral:rRNA from 1 species
UACGAGGGGGGGCGAGCGUUUGUUCGGAAUUAUUGGGCGUAAAGGGUGCGUAGGCGGUUCCGCAAGUCCUGUGUGAAAAUCUUCGGGCUCAACUCGCAGUCUGCACGGGAAACUGCGGGGCUUGAGUGUGGGAGAGGUGAGUGGAAUUCCCCGGUGUAGCGGUGAAAAUGCGUAGAUAUCGGGAGGAACACCUGUGGCGAAAGCGGCUCACUGGACCAUAACUGACGCUGAUGCACGAAAAGCUGGGGGGGAGCAAAACAGGAUUAGAAAACCCCUGGG